GUUGAGAGCACGCCCAGUGGGUGGCACUUGGCAGGGCCCUGGCAUUGCUCCACCUGAGCAGAUGACAGCCAAGAAUCACGGUGACUCAGGAAACUGAAUGCUCAGGCGUGGUGCUGGGCGUGGUGCGGUCCCCAACAAACACGGCCAAAGGAACUGAAAAAGCCACAGUUUCACUCGACUGCUGUCCUGGCGCAGCCACAGGGGGAGCCCAGAGGAGCACAGCUGGUGGCCAGCCACCAGGCCAGGCUUAUGUCUCGCCAGGCACAGAGGGUCCGUUGCUAACCUAUAUUCACAUGGUCCAUUUGUCACCCACUGGUGACAAGUGCACAAGUUGCAAAUCCCUUGAAGAAUGUUGUUUGUACUACACCUUAUUACAGCAGUUACCCAUUGCGGCAUAACAGAUGACCCCAACACCUAUUGGCUGAAAACAACACUGAAGACCUGACCGUUUCUGUGACUGUGGAUGCCAUGCCUGACUCAGGUUGCUUCUGGAUAAAGGCGCUCAUGAAGUUGCAGUCAUGCUGUUGGCCAGGCCUGGGACCCACGUCUCUAGUCACUCACGUGGUUGGUGCAGAAGUCAGUCCCUCGCUGGCCGUUGGAAUGAGGGUCUCGGUCCAGUGUUAGCUAUUGGCUCUCCCACAGGCACUGCAGUCUUUCAAACCUGUUGCUUUGCACACUCCUCCACUCUUCUCAUGUUCAAUCAUAUCAACUUUAAAUUUUUUUCAAUUAUACUUGA